rnacentral:rRNA from 1 species
UACGUAGGCGGAAAAUUAAGUCAGUGGUGAAAGCCUACAGCUCAACUGUAGAAUUGCCAUUGAUACUGAUGUUCUUGAGUUCAGUUGAAGUGGGCGGAAUGUGUUGUGUAGCGGUGAAAUGCUUAGAUAUGACACAGAACUCCGAUCGCGAAGGCAGCUAACUAAGCUGAUACUGACGCUGAAGCACGAAAGCGUGGGGAGCAAACAGGAUUAGAUACCCUGGUAGUCC